UAGGGAAUCUUCGGCAAUGGACGGAAGUCUGACCGAGCAACGCCGCAUGAGUGAAGAAGGUUUUCGGAUCGUAAAGCUCUGUUGUAAGAGAAGAACGAGUGUGAGAGUGGAAAGUUCACACUGUGACGGUAUCUUACCAGAAAGGGACGGCUAACUACGUGCCAGCAGCCGCGGUAAUACGUAGGUCCCGAGCGUUGUCCGGAUUUAUUGGGCGUAAAGCGAGCGCAGGCGGUUAGAUAAGUCUGAAGUUAAAGGCUGUGGCUUAACCAUAGUAGGCUUUGGAAACUGUUUAACUUGAGUGCAAGAGGGGAGAGUGGAAUUCCAUGUGUAGCGGUGAAAUGCGUAGAUAUAUGGAGGAACACCGGUGGCGAAAGCGGCUCUCUGGCUUGUAACUGACGCUGAGGCUCGAAAGCGUGGGGAGCAAACAGGAUUAGAUACCCUGGUAGUCCACGCUGUAAACGAUGAGUGCUAGGUGUUAGACCCUUUCCGGGGUUUAGUGCCGUAGCUAACGCAUUAAGCACUCCGCCUGGGGAGUACGACCGCAAGGUUG
rnacentral:rRNA from 1 species